rnacentral:lncRNA from 1 species
CAGGUUCUUUCUAAUUCUUUGGGUCUUUGGUUUCUUCCCUUUUUUACACAAGUUUAAGAAAGCUUUUUUUUUAAUCUUAUUGUCUUAAAAUAAAGAUAUGUCAAAUGUAUUAAUAUGUCAUUUAAUCUUGUGAUCUUAAACAUGUCAUGUGGAAAAUAGAAAUUAAAAGAGUUAUGAAAAAAGAAGAGUCAUUUUUAAAAAAAAAACUAAAAAAGAAAAUGCGGAGUUAUGAAAAAAGAAGAGUCAUUUUUAAAAAAAAAAAACUAAAAAAGAAAAUGCGUCAAAUAAAUGAAACAGAGGGAAUAUAACAUUUCCUUUGUUAUAAGAUCAUAUCAUUGAAGAUAAAAUAAAAUUUAAAAAAUUGAAGCUUUUUUAGAUAUAUGUAAGUGGCAUUCCCUUGAAAUUUAUUGUUUCAAUCUGUUUAACUUGAUUUGGAAUAUGAGAAUCAAACUAACAUCAUAAAAUUUUCAAUAGUUUUGAAAUGAGACUAAUCUUCCCCCACUAUACUAAGCCCCCUGCACUAUAAUUAAUGAACUUCAAUUUUAGGUUCACAGGAUUCUUUGAACAAUCCGUCCUUAUGUGGUACAUUUGCAUAACAAAAAUAGAGUAGAAACAUUAGUUUAGUUUUUUUG